AACAAUUUUCUCAGCUGUUAAUGAUUUUUUAUUCUUGUGAUUUACUAUUCUAUUAAAAUUGUGUCAAUAAGUAAAUGUGUUAAACAACAUUGUUGAUGGAUUGGGUAAGGUAAUACUUGAGAUGAAGUACAAGAAUGAAAGAAAUGAUGAUUGCCUCAAAGGAGUUUCUUGCCCUAGCAAAGUUAAUAUUGUACUUUAUGUAUUAUUGAUGUAUCAUUAUUAUCAUCAUUUAUUCCUCUUCAACACAUUAUCAUCAUCAUCUUUUCUCGAUACUAAAGUAAAGUUUGAUUACCCUUUUCCUUUGUAACUCAUCAUAAAUCUCAACUGACAUGAUAAAUUGAUUACGGAAAUAAACUGUUCAAAUUUCUUUGUUUACUUAUACAACUGGAUUCCUGGAAAUUCAUUAAUUGUCACUGAAAAUUAAAGUAAACUUGGCGAUGACGAUUGAUGAAGAUGAUGAUUUAUCUCUAGCAAUUUCUCCUGCUUAUCCUUGAAAAACUUCAUUGAUUGAUGAUACUGAUGAUAAUAUGAAUACGUAAUCAUCUAUUCCUUGGUAUUUCCAAUUCCUACCUGAUUCACUUUGAUCAAUCAAAAGUCACCUGAAGAUGUGCUGCAACUCUUUCGAUGAAACCAUCAAUUGACCGGUUUAACCAAUUUUAGGAUCCAUUGGCCAUUGAAAUUAUGUUAUCAGUCGAUGGGAAAUUGGUUGAUCAGGCUGUAAAGUAAUGGUACAAUUAGCUUGAAAAAUGCGAAUAUGGAAAUCACAUUCUGCAGUUUAAAUCCCGAAUCUUACCCAAAAGACUUGCAUUAUUUUUGAUUGAAAAGAUGAUGAAAAACUCAACUUUACCCACUUUAUAUCCUCGAUAAUCUUCAUAUGCUACGAAUUGUCAUCCUGACUCUUUUUCACUGGAUUACAAUUAUGUUAAUAAGGGUGAACAAUUUUGCACAUCAUUUAUUAAAAGGAAUAAAAUGAAAGAUAAUCUUCUUCACUGAGGAGCUGCUUCUUGAAAAUCUUCAAUCCUCAUCAUUCUCAAUAUUUUGAUCAUCUUCUAAUCACAAUAGUCAUCAAUCAAUCCACCCUUGACAAGAGAUAAACCAGUUUCAGGAAUAAUUUCACCUCUAAUGGAAUCAAGACUUUCAUUUACUUUUCAAUUGCCUUUUUCACCAGCAAAAACUUUACCAAUUGUCAUUAGGGAAUUAUUGUAUAAAUAUAAUGACAAAAGUUGAUAAAACUAGGAUGAAUUGCCAUUAAUGAGCAACAUUAACAGCGGAAUAAUGUUGGACAAUUUAAAGCAAUCAAAGACAAUUUUUGGACGAUUCAUUGAGAAAAGGCCUAACAUCAAAUGAAUGGAUUGAGAGAAAGCAAAUGAUUGACUCGUUUAAUGUAAAUAUUACAUUUCAUACAAUAAUGAAAUUACUCUGUUGGCUACCAGCUUAAAGGCACAAUUAGGUUCAAUUAAAGAUAUGUUCCAAUUAGUUAAUAGAUGCUGAAAAUAAUAUCAACUAUUAAAGUGAUUGAUUGAAAUUACCGCAGAUGGCGCCCAAGAAAUCAGCUGACAAACGCAAGAUAAAAACUGAAACCAUUUAGUUUAAUACAGUUUAGUCCAUAACAAUCAAUUGUUUUAUAAAUAACCAAAUAUAUAUAUUUAUAUUUAUACCAAUGUAUUAAACACUGAUUAGCAAAUUACAAUGAAUGAACUACAGAUUUAUAAUGGUGUAUAAAAUUGACAAAAAACAAGAAAAGAUGAUUUAAAACAAAGGAUAAAACAAAACGUAUUAAUACUAAUGACAAUAACAUAAAGAUAGCAAUUAACUGGUGCCGAAGGAAGAAGAGGCCAAGAAAUGGAUUCCAAAUUGUGACCAUUAAAAGAGAGCAACAAUGGAAAUGUUGACCAAACAAAAGGACAAACAGUUGAACA